rnacentral:rRNA from 1 species
AUUGAACGCUGGCGGCAGGCCUAACACAUGCAAGUCGAGCGAGCGGCGGACGGGUGAGUAAUGUAUGGGGACUGCCCGAUAGAGGGGGAUAACUACUGGAAACGGUGUCUAAUACCGCAUACUAUCGGAUAACCCAUAUGGGAUUAGCUAUUAGGGGGGGUAAAGGCUCACCUAGGCGACGAUCUCUAGCUGGUCGGAGAGGAUGAUCAGCCACACGGGGACUGAGAAACGGACCAGACUCCGACGGAGGCAGCAGUGGGGAAUAUGGCACAAUGGGCGCAAGCCUGAGGCAGCCAGGCCGCGUGUAUGAAGAAGGCAUUAGGGUUGUAAAGUACUUUCAGCGGGGAGGCGUUACCCGCAGAAGAAGCAACGGCUAACUCCGUGCCAGCAGCCGCGGUAAUUC